UACAGAGGGUGCGAGCGUUAAUCGGAAUUACUGGGCGUAAAGCGCACGUAGGUGGCGACGUAAGUCGGAUGUGAAAGCCCUGGGCUCAACCCAGGAAGUGCAUUCGAAACUGCAGAGCUGGAGUCCUGGAGAGGAAGGCGGAAUUCUCGGUGUAGAGGUGAAAUUCGUAGAUAUCGAGAGGAACACCGGUGGCGAAGGCGGCCUUCUGGACAGUGACUGACGCUGAGACGCGAAAGCGUGGGGAGCGAACAGG
rnacentral:rRNA from 1 species